CAGCAGCCACGGUAAUACGUAGGUCCCGAGCGUUGUCCGGAUUUAUUGGGCGUAAAGCGAGCGCAGGCGGUUAGAUAAGUCUGAAGUUAAAGGCUGUGGCUUAACCAUAGUACGCUUUGGAAACUGUUUAACUUGAGUGCAAGAGGGGAGAGUGGAAUUCCAUGUGUAGCGGUGAAAUGCGUAGAUAUAUGGAGGAACACCGGUGGCGAAAGCGGCUCUCUGGCUUGUAACUGACGCUGAGGCUCGAAAGCGUGGGGCGCAAACAGGAUUAGAUACCCCCGUAGUCCCUGUCUCUUAUACC
rnacentral:rRNA from 1 species